rnacentral:rRNA from 1 species
CCUACGGGUGGCAGCAGUGAGGAAUAUUGGUCAAUGGCCGGAAGGCUGAACCAGCCAUGCCGCGUGAAGGUCAGUGCCCUAUGGGCGUUAAACUUCUUUGACAGGGGAAGAGCAGAAGACGGUACCCCGAAAACAAGCCACGGCUAACUACGUGCCAGCAGCCGCGGUAAUACGUAGGUGGCAAGCGUUGUCCGGAUUUACUGGGUGUAAAGGGCGUGUAGCCGGGAAGGCAAGUCAGAUGUGAAAUCUGGAGGCUCAACCUCCAAAUUGCAUUUGAAACUGUUUUUCUUGAGUACUGGAGAGGCAGACGGAAUUCCUUGUGUAGCGGUGAAAUGCGUAGAUAUAAGGAGGAACACCAGUGGCGAAGGCGGUCUGCUGGACAGCAACUGACGGUGAGGCGCGAAAGCGUGGGGAGCAAACAGGAUUAGAUACCCUAUAGUC